rnacentral:rRNA from 1 species
UACGGAGGGGGCUAGCGUUGUUCGGAAUACUGGGCGUAAAGCGUGCGCAGGCGGUUGUGCAAGACCGAUGUGAAAUCCCCCGGGCUCAACCUGGGAAUUGCAUCUGUGACUGCAUAGCUAGAGUACGGUAGAGGGGGAUGGAAUUCCGCGUGUAGCAGUGAAAUGCGUAGAUAUGCGGAGGAACACCGAUGGCGAAGGCAAUCCCCCUGGACCUGUACUGACGCUCAUGCACGAAAGCGUGGGGGAGCAAACGAGG